rnacentral:rRNA from 1 species
UACGUAGGGUCCAAGCGUUGUCCGGAAUUAUUGGGCGUAAAGAGCUCGUAGGCGGUCCGCUAAGUCUGAUGUGAAAUCUCAGGGCUCAACCCUGAAAUCGCAUCCGAUACUGGCGGACUUGAGGCAGGUAGGGGAAGGUGGAAUUCCUGGUGUAGCGGUGAAAUGCGCAGAUAUCAGGAGGAACACCGGUGGCGAAGGCGGCCUUCUGGGCCUGUUCUGACGCUGAGGAGCGAAAGCGUGGGGAGCAAAC